CCCCCCGGAAAAGACAGAGGACACGGUGAGGGGCAGCGCCCCCUCUGCUUUCCCAGAACCCUCUUUUCGUUGGAAGGCAUAAUUAGGCGAACGUUAAUAAUUGCUCGCAAGCUGUAGCUGCUGUAGAAAAGAUGAAUUAGAUGAAGACCAGCCCAGAAGCAGGGAGCUGCUGCUGCAGUGUCCAGAUCCUUCAGAGUAGCUGCAAAGAGAAGAAUUUGGUGGAAAGCUGUGCCCACAUUCAGACUCCUCUCCUGCUUGUUCUGAUGAAGCAAGAAGCCCUGUGGAGAGGUUCGCCUAUGCAGGACUGAAUCUUGCCAGCAACCUCACGAGUGAGCUUGGAAGCAGAUUCUUUCCCCAAUUGAGCCCUGAGAUGACUGCAGUUCUGGCCAAUACCUUGAUGUUGGCCUUAUGAGAGAGUCUAAAGUUGAGAACCCAGUUAUGCCAUGCCCAGAUUUUUGACCUACGGAAACUGUCAGAAAACUUAAAGGAGAGAGGGGAAUAUGAAGACACCAGGCCCAGGAUGAGUCCUCUGCUGA